rnacentral:rRNA from 1 species
GACGAACGCUGGCGGCGUGCUUAACACAUGCAAGUCGAACGGAAAGGCCCUGCUUUUGUGGGGUGCUCGAGUGGCGAACGGGUGAGUAACACGUGAGUAACCUGCCCUUGGCUUUGGGAUAACUUCAGGAAACUGGGGCUAAUACCGGAUAGGAGCUCCUGCUGCAUGGUGGGGGUUGGAAAGUCUCGGCGGUUGGGGAUGGACUCGCGGCUUAUCAGCUUGUUGGUGGGGUAGUGGCUUACCAAGGCUUUGACGGGUAGCCGGCCUGAGAGGGUGACCGGCCACAUUGGGACUGAGAUACGGCCCAGACUCCUACGGGAGGCAGCAGUGGGGAAUAUUGCACAAUGGGCGGAAGCCUGAUGCAGCAACGCCGCGUGCGGGAUGACGGCCUUCGGGUUGUAAACCGCUUUCGCCUGUGACGAAGCGUGAGUGACGGUAAUGGGUAAAGAAGCACCGGCUAACUACGUG